rnacentral:sRNA from 1 species
ACAACAACAAUAACAAGACGUACCACCCAUAAUAAGAACGAUUGACACGACUCCAGCCUUACAAGAACAACGAUGCGGAGACGGGGCCAACCGAUUUUUUUGGAGUAGAAACAUGCCCGUCGGGCGAAGCCCGCAGCCAGGCCGAGAACAACAAAACUGCCCCGAGGCAGCACCCGAACUGGUGGGUCGACACGACCCAGGCGACAUCAGCGACCAAAGAAAUCCGUUUGCUAUUGGCUCCCCUGUUGGGGGCCAUCCCGGAGCCAACGAGCCAACCGGGACGGGCAUACAACAAGAACAACACGCCCGGAACAGAACAAGAACAACGCACGCACUUCGAUUUGAAAGGGAGCUUCGGCUCCCUUUCUGCGUUCGAGAGCCACUCCGGCUUCGUACAUCC